UGGGGAAUAUUGCACAAUGGGCGAAAGCCUGAUGCAGCAACGCCGCGUGAGUGAUGAAGGCCUUCGGGUUGUAAAUCUCUGUCUUCUGGGACGAUAAUGACGGUACCAGAGGAGGAAGCCACGGCUAACUACGUGCCAGCAGCCGCGGUAAUACGUAGGUGGCAAGCGUUGUCCGGAUUUACUGGGCGUAAAGGAUGCGUAGGCGGAUACUUAAGUCAGAUGUGAAAAUCCCGGGCUUAACUUGGGAACUGCAUUUGAAACUGGGUAUCUAGAGUGCGGGAGAGGAAAGUGGAAUUCCUAGUGUAGCGGUGAAAUGCGUAGAGAUUAGGAAGAACCCCAGUGGCGAAGGCGACUUUCUGGACCGUAACUGACGCUGAGGCAUGAAAGCGUGGGG
rnacentral:rRNA from 1 species